rnacentral:rRNA from 1 species
CCUACGGGAGGCAGCAGUGGGGAAUCUUGCGCAAUGGGCGAAAGCCUGACGCAGCCAUGCCGCGUGAAUGAUGAAGGUCUUAGGAUUGUAAAAUUCUUUCACCGGGGACGAUAAUGACGGUACCCGGAGAAGAAGCCCCGGCUAACUUCGUGCCAGCAGCCGCGGUAAUACGAAGGGGGCUAGCGUUGCUCGGAAUUACUGGGCGUAAAGGGAGCGUAGGCGGAUAGUUUAGUCAGAGGUGAAAGCCCAGGGCUCAACCUUGGAAUUGCCUUUGAUACUGGCUAUCUUGAGUACGGAAGAGGUAUGUGGAACUCCGAGUGUAGAGGUGAAAUUCGUAGAUAUUCGGAAGAACACCAGUGGCGAAGGCGACAUACUGGUCCGUUACUGACGCUGAGGCUCGAAAGCGUGGGGAGCAAACAGGAUUAGAUACCCUGGUAGUCCACGCUGUAAACGAUGAGUGCUAGUUGUCGGCAUGCAUGCAUGUCGGUGACGCAGCUAACGCAUUAAGCACUCCGCCUGGGGAGUACGGUCGCAAGAUUAAAACUCAAAGUAGUAGUGACGNGAGAGACGCGACGACGACGACGACGGAGGAG